rnacentral:rRNA from 1 species
UAGGGAACCUGCCCAUGCGGCCGGGACAACUUCCGGAAACGGAUGCUGAUACCGGAUAAGGAAAGCGAAGGCAUCUUUGCUUUGUUAAAGGAGCUGCAAGGCUCCGCGCAUGGAUGGACCUGCGGUGCAUUAGCCGGUUGGUGAGGUAAAGGCUCACCAAGGCGACGAUGCAUAGCCGGCCUGAGAGGGCGAACGGCCACACUGGGACUGAGACACGGCCCAGACUCCUACGGGAGGCAGCAG